rnacentral:rRNA from 1 species
CGCGUGGGAACGUGCCCUUCGGUUCGGAAUAACUCAGGGAAACUUGAGCUAAUACCGGAUACGUGCUUAGGCAGAAAGGUUUAUCUGCCGAAGGAUCGGCCCGCGUCUGAUUAGCUAGUUGGUGAGGUUAUGGCUCACCAAGGCGACGAUCAGUAGCUGGUCUGAGAGGAUGAUCAGCCACACUGGGACUGAGACACGGCCCAGACUCCUACGGGAGGCAGCAGUGGGGAAUAUUGGACAAUGGGGGCAACCCUGAUCCAGCCAUGCCGCGUGAGUGAUGACGGCCUUAGGGUUGUAAAGCUCUUUUCUCCGGGACGAUAAUGACGGUACCGGAGGAAUAAGCCCCGGCUAACUUCGUG